AAGUCGUAACAAGGUUUCCGUAGGUGAACCUGCGGAAGGAUCAUUACUGAAAGGAACUAUUAAUUUGGUUUUUUUCUUCCAUCCCCUUUGUUGAUUGAAUCCAUAUAUCUUUUUCUUCCACCAGACAGUGUUCCUCUCCUGUUAGGAGAGGUGCCCUCGGGCUUGAAAGUAGUUUCCCUACUUCUUGUCAGGGAGUGCUGGUGUAGUGGUAAGAGACCUCCAUCUCUUUUCUCACAAAAAAAAAAACUCGUAAACAAAAUUGUCUGACAUAACUUUCUUUAAUGAAAUAAAACUUUCAACAACGGAUCUCUAGGCUCUU
rnacentral:misc_RNA from 1 species